rnacentral:rRNA from 1 species
UACGCAGGGGGCUAGCGUUGCUCGGAAUCACUGGGCGUAAAGCGCACGUAGGCGGCUUGUUAAGUCAGGGGUGAAAUCCUGGAGCUCAACUCCAGAACUGCCUUUGAUACUGGCAAGCUUGGAGUCCGGGAGAGGUGAGUGGAACUGCGAGUGUAGAGGUGAAAUUCGUAGAUAUUCGCAAGAACACCAGUGGCGAAGGCGGCUCACUGGCCCGGUACUGACGCUGAGGUGCGAAAGCAUGGGGAGCGAACAGG